GGAUUAGAUACCCUGGUAGUCCACGCCGUAAACGAUGGAUACUAGCUGUUCGGAUUUCGGUCUGAGUGGCUAAGCGAAAGUGAUAAGUAUCCCACCUGGGGAGUACGUUCGCAAGAAUGAAACUCAAAGGAAUUGACGGGGGCCCGCACAAGCGGUGGAGCAUGUGGUUUAAUUCGAUGAUACGCGAGGAACCUUACCAAGGCUUAAAUGUAGAUUGACAGGCUGAGAGAUCGGUUUUUCUUCGGACAAUUUACAAGGUGCUGCAUGGUUGUCGUCAGCUCGUGCCG
rnacentral:rRNA from 1 species